rnacentral:rRNA from 1 species
UACGUAGGGUCCGAGCGUUGUCCGGAAUUAUUGGGCGUAAAGGGCUCGUAGGCGGUCUGUUGCGUCGGGAGUGAAAACUUACAGCUUAACUGUGAGCGUGCUUUCGAUACGGGCAGACUUGAGGCAUUCAGGGGAGAACGGAAUUCCUGGUGUAGCGGUGAAAUGCGCAGAUAUCAGGAGGAACACUGGUGGCGAAGGCGGUUCUCUGGGAAUGUCCUGACGCUGAGGAGCGAAAGUGCGGGGAGCGAACAGG